rnacentral:misc_RNA from 1 species
GUUCACGGUUUGAUAAAUUAGCUUCAAAUGUGUACACUUGAUCCUUAGCAGCACGGAACUGCUCUAGUAUUUGGGAAAUUCGAAUCCGAGCAGCUUCAGCAACAUUAGGGUUUUCUUGUUGCUCUGUUUUCUUUUGUCUCUUCUUUCCCAUUUUUCGUGUUUUUCAGGUUGCUUUCGGUGCCUCACACAAGAGGUAUAUCGGCAGGUCUCGAC